AUAGGACCAUAGAAUGUUGUAUAAUUCAUCGGUCCAUUGUCUUUUGGCUUGAUUUAACAUUAUCUUCAGGCCUUGUAAUAUGGUUCUAUUGGUUAGUUCAGCUUUUUCAUUUAAUUAUGGAUGUCCACCCAAAAUAAGUCUGUGAAUGAUAUGGAAUUUUGUAUUGAACUCUUCAAAUUUAAUAUUAUUGAAUUGUCGGCCA
rnacentral:lncRNA from 1 species